UCGAGAAUCUUCGGCAAUGGGCGCAAGCCUGACCGAGCGACGCCGCGUGGAGGAUGAAGGCCUUCGGGUUGUAAACUCCUGUCGAGGGGGAGGAAGCCGCAAGGUUGACCGAUCCCUGGAGGAAGCACGGGCUAAGUUCGUGCCAGCAGCCGCGGUAAGACGAACCGUGCGAACGUUAUUCGGAAUCACUGGGCUUAAAGCGCGUGUAGGCGGGCCGCCACGUCGGCUGCUGAAAUCCCCCGGCUCAACCGGGGAACGGGCACCGAUACGGGCGGCCUCGAGGGGGGUAGGGGGACCUGGAACUUCCGGUGGAGCGGUGAAAUGCGUUGAGAUCGGAAGGAACGCCCGUGGCGAAAGCGAGGUCCUGGACCCUUUCUGACGCUGAGACGCGAAAGCCAGGGGAGCGAACGGGAUUAGAUACCCCCGUAGUCC
rnacentral:rRNA from 1 species